CGAACGCUAGCGGCGUGCCUAAUGUAUGCAAGUCGAGCGGGGCAAGGGACUUCGGUCCGUUGUUCAGCGGCAAACGGUUGAGUAACACGUAGGCAACCUGCCCCAGAGACGGGGAUAGCCCGCCGAAAGGCGGAUUAAUACCGGAUGUGGCGAGAGGGAGCCUUCCCUUUCUGCUAAAGGGAGCAAUCCGCUCUGGGAUGGGCCUGCGGCCUAUCAGCUUGUUGGUGAGGUGACGGCUCACCAAGGCGACGACGGGUAGCUGGUCUGAGAGGAUGGUCAGCCAGACAGGGACUGAGACACGGCCCUGACUCCUUUGGGGGGCAGCAAUGAGGGAUAUUGCACAAUGGGGGAAACCCUGAUGCAGCGACGCCGCGUGGGUGACGAAGUCCUUCGGGAUGUAAAGCCCUUUUCUCGGGGAAGAGAACGGACGGUACCCGAGGAAGAAGCCCCGGCUAACUACGUGCCAGCAGCCGCGGUAAUACGUAGGGGGCAAGCGUUGUCCGGAAUUACUGGGCGUAAAGCGCGCGUAGGCGGGACAGAAAGUCCGGCGUGAAAGCCUCCGGCUCAACCGGAGAGAGCCGUCGGAUACUUUUGUUCUUGAGGGUCGAAGAGGAGAGUGGAAUUCCCGGUGUAGCGGUGAAAUGCGUAGAGAUCGGGAGGAACACCCAUGGCGAAGGCAGCUCUCUGGUCGACCUCUGACGCUGAGGUGCGAAAGCGUGGGGAGCGAACGGGAUUAGAUACCCCGGUAGUCCACGCCGUAAACGAUGGUCACUAGGUGUAUGCGGUAUCGACCCCGCAUGUGCCGCAGCUAACGCAAUAAGUGACCCGCCU
rnacentral:rRNA from 1 species